rnacentral:rRNA from 1 species
CGCAUCUGUGCAUGCAGCAUAUCAAUAAGCGGAGGAAAAGAAACUAACAAGGAUUCCCUUAGUAACGGCGAGUGAAGCGGGAAGAGCUCAAAUUUGAAAUCUUCAAGGUUUUACCUUGACGAAUUGUAGUUUAAAGAAGUGUUUUCUGUUGAAGUUUUGGUAAAAGUUCUUUGGAAUAGGACAUCAUAGAGGGUGAGAAUCCCGUAUUUGACCAUUAUUUUCAGCUGUGUGAUACACUUUCAAAGAGUCGGAUUGUUUGGGAAUGCAGUCCAAAAUGGGUGGUAAAUUUCAUCUAAAGCUAAAUAUUGGCGAGAGACCGAUAGCGAACAAGUACCGUGAGGGAAAGAUGAAAAGAACUUUGAAAAGAGAGUUGAACAGUACGUGAAAUUGUCAAAAGGGAAGCGUUUGACACCAGUGUUGUUUUCUCGAAAAUCAAUUAAAAAGAGUUAGAUUUUGUUGUGUAUUGACCUUAACAGCUUGCAUUUCAAUAUUCUUGCUUUUUUUAAUGCACUUUUCGUUUAACAAGUCAACAUCAGUUUCUUUUGUUGUAAAAAGGUCAUUGGAAGGUGGCUUUCUUUUCGGAGAAAGUGUUUAUAGCCUUUGACUCCUGCAAUCGGAGAGACUGAGGUCUGCAGCGUAGAUCCUUCGGGGUUAGAUACAUUUGUGCUAAGUUAUAGCUUUUUAUAGACAACUUGUUGACUAUGAUUAGUCUUGUAGCUUACUCGCUUAUGCUAUUUUACCUACGCUUAGGAUGUUGACACACGCGCGUGCUCGAUGAUAGUCUAUACAUGACUCUGCGCAUAUCAAUAAGCGGAGGAAAAGCGCAUUAAAGAUCCAGAUACCUACGCUUAGGAUGUUGACACACGCGCGUGCUCGGCUCUAUACAUGACUCUGCGCAUAUCAAUAAGCGGAGGAAAAGAGGGCCAUUACCUACGCUUAGGAUGUUGAAGAUGUAGCACAUCAU